ACUUGAAUAGCUUAUAAAGAGCAUGAUAUUGAAGAUAUUAAGGAAAUUUUAUAAUUUUUAAGUA
rnacentral:tRNA from 1 species